CUUUACAUCCUGCUAUGGAUUUAGUUAUUUUUGUUCUGAAGUGAUUUAUGAGAUUUCCAUGUCAGCUUUUCAUCAAAAACUUCACUAACUACAGAUCUCAGCACCAUCGACUCUAAAUGGAACAUCAAUAGUUCCCUUUCUAUUACUGAAUAUAGUUUUAUCCAAAUUUAAUUAUUUAGUUUAAGCCAAGUUUGUAUUUUAACAAAUUCUGUCUGCAUUUAUUCUAGUUUUACUCUAUUAUAGGCUUUAAUUAAUCCAGACUUAGCUUCACUUGUUUUGACUUCAUCUCUGCUUUUUUCUAAUAAUUUCAGCUUUCUGCCUCAUUUAAUCUGAUUCAUCAGUUCUGUUAGCUGUUCUAAUCAGUGGCCUCAUUAAUGCUGCUUUAUUCCCACCAGUUAGUUUUUCUAAGAACAACAGCUUCGCCUGCAGGUAAAUUUAAAAACCAGCUGAAACAAGUCAGAACAAAGAACAGAACUGCUUCAAACCAGUUUAUUGUUGCAGGUUUUACAAACAUUCACAGCCUUGAAUUCCCUUUACUGUAAUYUGAAGUUCAGAUUAAAAACGAUCAAUCUCACAGAUGACAUUUAGCAGCAGGUUACAGACUGAACUGACAACAYAGCUGAACAUGAUAGUUUUUCUGGCUGUGGUUACAUUUACAUCUGCAGUCAGAAUGAAGCUAGUGCUUAUUUUAAAGAAAAUCAGACAUUAUAAACAGACAAUCCCAGUUCGAGCAGCUUGUGAAUAUUAAACCCCAACAAGACCUUUUGUUUUACUAAAUGAAAACUAAUAUAAUAGAAAAAUAAAACACUGAUUACAGAACAAUCGUUUUUAGAAAAAGGAUUGUUUCUCAAACUUCUUGAAGCAUCAACUUAGAAACCCUGACCUGAUUUACUUUUUUAAAAUAAAUAUACUUAGAGGUUAAGUGCCUCAAAAUUUUAUUCCUUAUUUUAAUAAAUAUUUCUUAAACAUUUUUUCAGCUGCUCCCUUCAAGAGGGCAGUUCUUUCAUGACGUUUUUGUUUUUUAUCCUAAUGCAAUAAUUCAGGUAAAGAAAUCUUGUCAAAAAUCAAACUUUGAAACACGGAGAAAAAAAAGGUAGAAAGGAGAAAACCUUGGUGUCCACAGUUGUCAAAGAGCCUUCCUGCCAUCAGCAGAAGAAACAAAUGUAAAAUCUGCCACAARGUUUCAGAGCUCAUGAUGGUUCAGACCAGCAGGUGGCAGAGGACGUCUUUCUGUUCCAAACAAAUGAAUAAAACAGAAAACUGGAACAACUCAAGUUACUGAUCAGCAUCUUUCAGUUUAUUUAGCUUUUCUGUGUCUGAACUUCAGUCUCCAGCUGGUUCAGACUCUUCUUGCUGAACAAGAAUCUCAGGUUCAGUCUGUGAGCCUGAAGAGACUUCAACAAGAUGACAGCCUGUUAUUCUGCUCAUUCAACACCCUGUUAAAUUCAUGAGAAAAUACAAGAAAACUUACAAAAUACAUGAGAUUCAAUGGAAAACAAAACAUUCAUUUCAUCCCAAAAGUCACCCAGUGUAAAAACUAAAGAUUUCAGCUAUAAAAUAAAGGCCCAAAAACAAGUUUCCUCUUUCUGCCUCGGAGCUCUGCUCCAAAUCCAAACAUGCAGAA